rnacentral:rRNA from 1 species
AACGAACGCUGGCGGCGGGCUUAACACAUGCAAGUCGAGCGCCCCGCAAGGGGAGCGGCAGACGGGUGAGUAACGCGUGGGAACGUGCCUUUAGGUUCGGAAUAACUCAGGGAAACUUGUGCUAAUACCGAAUGUGCCCUUCGGGGGAAAGAUUUAUCGCCUUUAGAGCGGCCCGCGUCUGAUUAGCUAGUUGGUGAGGUAAAGGCUCACCAAGGCGACGAUCAGUAGCUGGUCUGAGAGGAUGAUCAGCCACAUUGGGACUGAGACACGGCCCAAACCCCUACGGGAGGCAGCAGUGGGGAAUAUUGGACAAUGGGCGCAAGCCUGAUCCAGCCAUGCCGCGUGAGUGAUGAAGGUCUUAGGAUUGUAAAGCUCUUUCACCGGUGAAGAUAAUGACGGUAACCGGAGAAGAAGCCCCGGCUAACUUCGUGCCAGCCGCCGCAGUAACAC